AAGUAGUCGAGCUGAAACCCCUGAAAACAAUCGUAGGACGAUGACAAGGUUUUGGCAGCUGCAAUCUUAAAGACCAGGAAGUGAGGGUAACAGAAGCAAAUCAUCAGUGCCUGUCUUUGAACUUGAUGAAACUGUCUCAGCCUCAUGACCUGUGGUACUAGACAGAGACCACAACACCUUGUCUAUCCAGAGUGUGGGAGCACUGUGUGCAGUUAGCUCCUGGAGGCUUGUCCUCAGUAGGCUUAGGGCAUGAGGAGCCCUGGAAAGCCCAGGACCCCAUGGAGGGCCCUGGAGAAACAGCACCUGUGGCUGAGGGGUUCACAGGCCCAGCGAGAUCCACUCAGGUGAGGUCACCUGUAGAGGUCAUGCUGCGGAGUCCCGAGUCCCUGAUUAUAUUCAAGACGUGGAGCUCUCUUUUUCCCGUCCUGCUUUCUUUCCAGAAGUGCCUCAGAUGCAUCCUCCCCUUCUCUUUUCUCCACAUGAAGACGUCACUGACCAUCUUCUCUGGUUUGCUUUCCAACACCGAGCACCAAGUGCUUCAAAGGUCAUGGUGCCCUGGGGCCGAGAGCUACUUAUGUGG
ensembl:lncRNA LINC00323 long intergenic non-protein coding RNA 323